rnacentral:rRNA from 1 species
GACGAACGCUGGCGGCGUGCUUAACACAUGCAAGUCGAACGGAAAGGCCCUGCUUUUGUGGGGUGCUCGAGUGGCGAACGGGUGAGUAACACGUGAGUAACCUGCCCUUGACUUUGGGAUAACUUCAGGAAACUGGGGCUAAUACCGGAUAGGAGCUCCUGCUGCAUGGUGGGGGUUGGAAAGUUUCGGCGGUUGGGGAUGGACUCGCGGCUUAGCAGCUUGUUGGUGGGGUAGUGGCUUACCAAGGCUUUGACGGGUAGCCGGCCUGAGAGGGUGACCGGCCACAUUGGUACUUAGAUACGGCCCAGACUCCUACGGGCGGCAGCCGUAGGGAAUAUUGCACCAUGGGCGCGAGCCUGAUGCAGUCACGCCGCGUGCGGGAUGACGGCCUUCGAGUUAUAAACCGCUUUCGCCUCUGACGAAGCGUGAGGGACGGUAAUGGCUUAAGAAGCACCGGCUAACUACGUG